GUUUUAAUAAUUUAUAUAAAAUACUGGUCUUGUAAACCAGAAAUGAGAAAAGUCUCUUAAAAUA
rnacentral:tRNA from 1 species